rnacentral:rRNA from 1 species
AGAGUUCGAUCAUGGCUCAGGAUGAACGCUGGCGGUAUGCUUUACACAUGCAAGUCGAACGGAAGUGUGCUUGCACACUUGAGUGGCGGACGGGUGAGUAACACGUAAGAAUUUGCCUUUAGGAGGGGGACACACUGGAAACGGUAGCUAAUACCCCAUAUGCUUUCGAGUGAAAUGGAUCUUUCCGCCUAGAGAGAAGCUUGCGGCUGAUUAGCUUGUUGGUAAGGUAAUGGCUUACCAAGGCGACGAUCAGUAUCUGGUUUGAGAGGACGAUCAGACUCACUGGAACUGAGACACGGUCCAGACUCCUACGGGAGGCAGCAGUGGGGAAUUUUCCGCAAUGGGCGAAAGCCUGACGGAGCAAUACCGCGUGAGGGAUGACGGCCUAUGGGUUGUAAACCUCUUUUUUCAGGGAGGAAAAAAAUGACGUUACCUGAAGAAUAAGCAUCGGCUAACUCCGUGCCAGCAGCCGCGGUAAGACGGAGGAUGCAAGUGUUAUCCGGAAUCACUGGGCGUAAAGCGUCUGUAGGUGGUUUAAUAAGUCAACUGUUAAAUCUUGAGGCUCAACCUCGAAACCGCAGUCGAAACUAUUAGACUAGAGUCUAGUAGGGGUAAAGGGAAUUUCCAGUGGAGCGGUGAAAUGCGUAGAGAUUGGAAAGAACACCGAUGGCGAAGGC